rnacentral:rRNA from 1 species
GACGAACGCUGGCGGCGUGCUUAACACAUGCAAGUCGAACGGAAAGGCCCUGCUUUUGUGGGGUGCUCGAGUGGCGAACGGGUGAGUAACACGUGAGUAACCUGCCCUUGACUUUGGGAUAACUUCAGGAAACUGGGGCUAAUACCGGAUAGGAGCUCCUGCUGCAUGGUGGGGGUUGGAAAGUUUCGGCGGUUGGGGAUGGACUCGCGGCUUAUCAGCUUGUUGGUGGGGUAGUGGCUUACCAAGGCUUUGACGGGUAGCCGGCCUGAGAGGGUGACCGGCCACAUUGGGACUGAGGUACGGCCCAGCCUCCUACGGGAGGCAGCAGUGGGGAAUAUUGCACAAUGGGCGGAAGCCUGAUUCAGCAACGCCGCGUGCGGGAUGACGGCCUUCGGGUUGUAAACCGCUUUCGCCUGUGACGAAGCGUGAGUGACGGUAAUGGGUAAAGAAGCACCGGCUAACUACGUGCCAGCAGCCGCAGUAACAC